rnacentral:rRNA from 1 species
UACGUAGGGUGCGAGCGUUAAUCGGAAUUACUGGGCGUAAAGCGUGCGCAGGCGGGCUUUUAAGCCAGACGUGAAAUCCCCGGGCUUAACCUGGGAAUGGCGUUUGGGACUGGGAGUCUGGAGUGCGGCAGAGGAGACUGGAAUUCCUGGUGUAGCAGUGAAAUGCGUAGAUAUCAGGAGGAACACCGGUGGCGAAGGCGGAUCUCUGGGCCAUUACUGACGCUGAGGAGCGAAAGCGUGGGGAGCGAACAGG